rnacentral:rRNA from 1 species
AUGCAGUCGAACGAUGAACCACUUCGGUGGGGAUUAGUGGCGAACGGGUGAGUAACACGUGGGCAAUCUGCCCUGCACUCUGGGACAAGCCCUGGAAACGGGGUCUAAUACCGGAUACUGACCCUCGCAGGCAUCUGCGAGGUUCGAAAGCUCCGGCGGUGCAGGAUGAGCCCGCGGCCUAUCAGCUUGUUGGUGAGGUAAUGGCUCACCAAGGCGACGACGGGUAGCCGGCCUGAGAGGGCGACCGGCCACACUGGGACUGAGACACGGCCCAGACUCCUACGGGAGGCAGCAGUGGGGAAUAUUGCACAAUGGGCGAAAGCCUGAUGCAGCGACGCCGCGUGAGGGAUGACGGCCUUCGGGUUGUAAACCUCUUUCAGCAGGGAAGAAGCGAAAGUGACGGUACCUGCAGAAGAAGCGCCGGCUAACUACGUGCCAGCAGCCGCGGUAAUACGUAGGGCGCAAGCGUUGUCCGGAAUUAUUGGGCGUAAAGAGCUCGUAGGCGGCUUGUCGCGUCGGUUGUGAAAGCCCGGGGCUUAACCCCGGGUCUGCAGUCGAUACGGGCAGGCUAGAGUUCGGUAGGGGAGAUCGGAAUUCCUGGUGUAGCGGUGAAAUGCGCAGAUAUCAGAGGAACACCGGUGGCGAAAGGCGGAUCUCUGGGCCGAUACUGACGCUGAGGAGCGAAAGCGUGGGGAGCGAACAGGAUUAGAUACCCUGGUAGUCCACGCCGUAAACGGUGGGCACUAGUGUGGGCAACAUUCCACGUUGUCCGUGCCGCAGCUAACGCAUUAAGUGCCCCGCCUGGGGGAGUACGGCCGCAAGGCUAAAACUCAAGGGAAUUGACGGGGGCCCGCACA